GAAUUCUCGGAAAUGCAUAUGAUGUCAAGUACGCUUGAGUGCUACGUGGAAUAACGAGUUGCUGCAGCUGGAAAUGUGCAUAAAACACACAAACCGACGCAAACAAACAAAAACAUUACUAGGAUAUUGCGCAGCAAUCCGAAUUUUAACGUCAUCAACUUUAACACACACUUUUAGGACACACUUCGUCUGUUCAGUUUAAAUUGCAGAGGAAAUAAUUCUACUACUAAAGGAUUUUGGUUCUUCUCUGUGCUCUUGAAAGUCGAAUAUCCGUAACGAUUUGAAAUGAACAAUGACUGUCACCGUCAUAUAAACCCGACUACGAGGCAUAUUUACAGUUUCUUUCGACAAUAAUUAGCAAUUUCAACGAGAAAAGCGCCAACCUUAGAAAUAACAGUUUUUCUGGUGUAAGAUUGUAGAAAGAGAGAAACUAAUGGUAAUAAUGGUAACAAAAAUCA